rnacentral:rRNA from 1 species
CUAACUAGGAUUCCCUCAGUAGCGGCGAGCGAAGCGGGAAGAGCUCAAGUUGAAAAUCUAAGAGCGUCGCUCUUCGAAUUGUAGUCUAGAGAAGCGCCAUCUGUGCCGCGCCGGGUAGAGAUCCUUUGAAAGAGGGUAUCAUAGAGGGUGAGAAUCCCGUCUGUGACUCGGAGUGCGGUGCUUUACGAUGCGUUUUCGUCGAGUCGGGUUGUUUGGGAAUGCAGCCCUAAUUGGGUGGUAAACUCCAUCUAAAGCUAAAUACUGGUGGGAGACCGAUAGCGAACAAGUACUGUGAAGGAAAGAUGCAAAGAACUUUGAAAAGAGAGUUAAAAGUACCUGAAACCGUUAAGGGGGAAGCGAAUAGAGUUUAAGGUAGCCGCGGCUCCAGCCCUCAUGGGUGCAUCGUCGCGGCGGCCGUCCAGUAUCGGCUGAGUUAGCGGUACAAACCUUUGCUGUGAUUAACACGAAGCGUUGCCGUCAGCUCGACCGAGGGAUCCCCGCAAGGGUGAGGAUACUGGAGUAAGAGCUUUAUCCGACCCGUCUUGAAACACGGACCAAGGAGUCUAACAUGCCUGCGAGUGUUUGAGUGGCAAACUCGAGCGCGCAAUGAAAGUAAUAGGUGGGGUCACCAUCGUCCGACUAUGAUCUUCUGUGAAAGGUUUGAGAUAGAGCACGCAUGCUGGGACCCGAAAGAUGGUGAACUAUGCUUGAGUAGGGUGAAGCCAGAGGAAACUCUGGUGGAAGCUCGUAGCGGUGCUGACGUGCAAAUCGCUCGUCGAACUUGAGUAUAGGGGCGAAAGACUAAUCGAACCAUCUAGUAGCUGGUUCCCUCCGAAGUUUCCCUCAGGAUAGCGGGAGCAAUGAAGCAGUUUUAUCUGGUAAAGCGAAUGAUUAGCGGCCUCGGGGAAGUAACUUCCUCGACCGAUUCUCAAACUUUAAAUAGGUAAGGUGCGCGUGUUGCUUUGUUGAACACGCGCAGGCAAUGGCUGCUCCCAGUGGGCCAUUUUUGGUAAGCAGAACUGGCGAUGCGGGAUGAACCGAAAGCCGAGUUAAGGUGCCUAAGUAUACGCUCAUUUCGAUCCCAUAAAAGGUGUUGAUUCAUUUAGACAGCAGGACGGUGGCCAUGGAAGUCGGAAUCCGCUAAGGAGUGUGUAACAACUCACCUGCCGAAUGAAUUAGCCCUGAAAAUGGAUGGCGCUUAAGCGUAUCACCGAUACUCGGCCAUGGCUAUUACGCUAGGUGGCCAUGAGUAGGAGGGCGUGGGGUUUGUUAUGCAGUCUCGACGCGAGUCGGGGUGAAACGGACCCUAGUGCAGAUCUUGGUGGUAGUAGCAAAUAUUCAAGUGAGAACCUUGAAGACUGAAGUGGAGAAGGGUUCCAUGGGAACAGUGAUUGGACAUGGGUUAGUCGAUCCUAAGAGAUAGGGAAACUCUAUUUCAAGUGUCGCGUUUGCGACAGUCCAUCGAAAGGGAAGCGGGUUAAGAUUCCCGCACCGGGAUGCGGAGAUUACGCGGCGACGCAACUGAACUUGGGGACGCCAGCGGGAGCCCUAGGCAGAGUUCUCUUUUCUGUUUAACGCGCCUAAGACCCUGGAAUCGGAUUAUCCGGAGAAAGGGUCCGUCGGCCGGGAAAGCACGGCACCUUGUCCGUGUCUGGUGCGCUUCUGAUGGCCCUUGAAAACCCAAGGGAAGGUUUAAUUUCGUGCCUGGUCGUACCCAUAACCGCAGCAGGUCUCCAAGGUG